rnacentral:rRNA from 1 species
ACACAUGCAAGUCGAGCGGUAGCACAGAGAGCUUGCUCUCGGGUGACGAGCGGCGGACGGGUGAGUAAUGUCUGGGAAACUGCCUGAUGGAGGGGGAUAACUACUGGAAACGGUAGCUAAUACCGCAUAAUGUCGCAAGACCAAAGUGGGGGACCUUCGGGCCUCAUGCCAUCAGAUGUGCCCAGAUGGGAUUAGCUAGUAGGUGGGGUAACGGCUCACCUAGGCGACGAUCCCUAGCUGGUCUGAGAGGAUGACCAGCCACACUGGAACUGAGACACGGUCCAGACUCCUACGGGAGGCAGCAGUGGGGAAUAUUGCACAAUGGGCGCAAGCCUGAUGCAGCCAUGCCGCGUGUGUGAAGAAGGCCUUCGGGUUGUAAAGCACUUUCAGCGGGGAGGAAGGCGUUAAGGUUAAUAACCUUGGCGAUUGACGUUACCCGCAGAAGAAGCACCGGCUAACUCCGUGCCAGCAGCCGCGGUAAUACGGAGGGUGCAAGCGUUAAUCGGAAUUACUGGGCGUAAAGCGCACGCAGGCGGUCUGUCAAGUCGGAUGUGAAAUCCCCGGGCUCAACCUGGGAACUGCAUUCGAAACUGGCAGGCUAGAGUCUUGUAGAGGGGGGUAGAAUUCCAGGUGUAGCGGUGAAAUGCGUAGAGAUCUGGAGGAAUACCGGUGGCGAAGGCGGCCCCCUGGACAAAGACUGACGCUCAGGUGCGAAAGCGUGGGGAGCAAACAGGAUUAGAUACCCUGGUAGUCCACGCCGUAAACGAUGUCGAUUUGGAGGUUGUGCCCUUGAGGCGUGGCUUCCGGAGCUAACGCGUUAAAUCGACCGCCUGGGGAGUACGGCCGCAAGGUUAAAACUCAAAUGAAUUGACGGGGGCCCGCACAAGCGGUGGAGCAUGUGGUUUAAUUCGAUGCAACGCGAAGAACCUUACCUGGUCUUGACAUCCACAGAACUUUCCAGAGAUGGAUUGGUGCCUUCGGGAACUGUGAGACAGGUGCUGCAUGGCUGUCGUCAGCUCGUGUUGUGAAAUGUUGGGUUAAGUCCCGCAACGAGCGCAACCCUUAUCCUUUGUUGCCAGCGGUUCGGCCGGGAACUCAAAGGAGACUGCCAGUGAUAAACUGGAGGAAGGUGGGGAUGACGUCAAGUCAUCAUGGCCCUUACGACCAGGGCUACACACGUGCUACAAUGGCAUAUACAAAGAGAAGCGACCUCGCGAGAGCAAGCGGACCUCAUAAAGUAUGUCGUAGUCCGGAUUGGAGUCUGCAACUCGACUCCAUGAAGUCGGAAUCGCUAGUAAUCGUAGAUCAGAAUGCUACGGUGAAUACGUUCCCGGGCCUUGUACACACCGCCCGUCACACCAUGGGGAGUGGGUUGCAAAAGAAGUAGGUAGCUUAACCUUCGGGA